rnacentral:rRNA from 1 species
CCUACGGGAGGCAGCAGUAGGGAAUCUUCCACAAUGGGCGAAAGCCUGAUGGAGCAACGCCGCGUGGGUGAAGAAGGUCUUCGGAUCGUAAAACCCUGUUGUUAGAGAAGAAAGUGCGUGAGAGUAACUGUUCACGUUUCGACGGUAUCUAACCAGAAAGCCACGGCUAACUACGUGCCAGCAGCCGCGGUAAUACGUAGGUGGCAAGCGUUAUCCGGAUUUAUUUGGCGUAAAGGGAACGCAGGCGGUCUUUUAAGUCUGAUGUGAACGCCGUCGGCUUAACCGGAGUAGUGCAUUGGAAACUGGGAGACUUGAGUGCAGAAGAGGAGAGUGGAACUCCAUGUGUAGCGGUGAAAUGCGUAGAUAUAUGGAAGAACACCAGUGGCGAAGGCGGCUCUCUGGUCUGUAACUGACGCUGAGGUUCGAAAGCGUGGGUAGCAAACAGGAUUAGAUACCCGGGUAGUC